rnacentral:rRNA from 1 species
UACAUGCAGUCGAGCGACGGACGAGAAGCUUGCUUCUCUGAUGUUAGCGGCGGACGGGUGAGUAACACGUGGAUAACCUACCUAUAAGACUGGGAUAACUUCGGGAAACCGGAGCUAAUACCGGAUAAUAUUUUGAACCGCAUGGUUCAAAAGUGAAAGACGGUCUUGCUGUCACUUAUAGAUGGAUCCGCGCUGCAUUAGCUAGUUGGUAAGGUAACGGCUUACCAAGGCAACGAUGCAUAGCCGACCUGAGAGGGUGAUCGGCCACACUGGAACUGAGACACGGUCCAGACUCCUACGGGAGGCAGCAGUAGGGAAUCUUCCGCAAUGGGCGAAAGCCUGACGGAGCAACGCCGCGUGAGUGAUGAAGGUCUUCGGAUCGUAAAACUCUGUUAUUAGGGAAGAACAUAUGUGUAAGUAACUGUGCACAUCUUGACGGUACCUAAUCAGAAAGCCACGGCUAACUACGUGCCAGCAGCCGCGGUAAUACGUAGGUGGCAAGCGUUAUCCGGAAUUAUUGGGCGUAAAGCGCGCGUAGGCGGUUUUUUAAGUCUGAUGUGAAAGCCCACGGCUCAACCGUGGAGGGUCAUUGGAAACUGGAAAACUUGAGUGCAGAAGAGGAAAGUGGAAUUCCAUGUGUAGCGGUGAAAUGCGCAGAGAUAUGGAGGAACACCAGUGGCGAAGGCGACUUUCUGGUCUGUAACUGACGCUGAUGUGCGAAAGCGUGGGGAUCAAACAGGAUUAGAUACCCUGGGUAGUCCACGCCG